AUUGAACGCUGGCGGCAUGCCUUACACAUGCAAGUCGAACGGCAGCACGGGUGCUUGCCCCUGGUGGCGAGUGGCGAACGGGUGAGUAAUACAUCGGAACAUGUCCUGUAGUGGGGGAUAGCCCGGCGAAAGCCGGAUUAAUACCGCAUACGAUCUACGGAUGAAAGCGGGGGACCUUCGGGCCUCGCGCUGUUGGGUUGGCCGAUGGCUGAUUAGCUAGUUGGUGGGGUAAAGGCCUACCAAGGCGACGAUCAGUAGCUGGUCUGAGAGGACGACCAGCCACACGGGGACUGAGACACGGCCCAGACUCCUACGGUAGGCAGCAGUGGGGAAUUUUGGGCAAGGGGCGAAAGCCUGAUCCAGCAAUGCCGCGGGUGGGAUGAAGGCCCACGGGUUGUAAAGCACUUUUGUCCGGAAAGAAAUACUUGGCCCUAAUACGGGCGGGGGAUGACGGUACCGGAAGAAUAAGCACCGGCUAACUACGUG
rnacentral:rRNA from 1 species